GUGGCCCCAGGAUGGGCGAGGAUACCCGCUGAGUUUAAG
rnacentral:rRNA from 2 species